GUUUUCGUAGUGUAGUGGUUAUCACGUGCGCUUUACACACGCAAGGUUCCCAGUUCAAUUCUGGGCGGAAACA
rnacentral:tRNA from 1 species